UACGAAGGGUGCAAGCGUUGCUCGGAAUCAUUGGGCGUAAAGCGCACGUAGGCGGCCUCAAAAGUCGGAUGUGAAAUCCCGUGGCUCAACCAUGGACGUGCAUUCGAAACUGCGAGGCUUGAGUAUGGAAGAGGGUCGCGGAAUUCCCGGUGUAGAGGUGAAAUUCGUAGAUAUCGGGAGGAACACCAGUGGCGAAGGCGGCGACCUGGGCCAAUACUGACGCUGAGGUGCGAAAGCGUGGGGAGCGAACAGG
rnacentral:rRNA from 1 species